UAAAUUAUACGUGUAGUUGAUAACAAAUUAACCACUUGCAUAUAUGCAUAAGCAAAACUUGAUCUUAUUCCUUUUAUAUGCUGAUAAACUCGGCUAAUUUACAAUUUGCCCAUCAAAACUCCAAGGUGAAGGUCCACUCUAAAGGCAAAAAUGGAAGAAAAUAAAACCCCCUUUUUUUUGCUAAAUUUUCCAACACCUCCACUGGGCAAGCAGGUGCCAAACUAAUAAAAGCUUCAUCUUUGGGGAAAAAAAUGUA
rnacentral:misc_RNA from 1 species